GACGAACGCUGGCGGCGUGCUUAACACAUGCAAGUCGAACGGAAAGGCCCUGCUUUUGUGGGGUGCUCGAGUGGCGAACGGGUGAGUAACACGUGAGUAACCUGCCCUUGACUUUGGGAUAACUUCAGGAAACUGGGGCUAAUACCGGAUAGGAGCUCCUGCUGCAUGGUGGGGGUUGGAAAGUUUCGGCGGUUGGGGAUGGACUCGCGGCUUAUCAGCUUGUUGGUGGGGUAGUGGCUUACCAAGGCUUUGACGGGUAGCCGGCCUGAGAGGGUGACCGGCCACAUGGGGAAUGGGAGCCGGCCCAGCCUCCUACGGGAGGACGGAGUGGGGAAUAUUGGCAAAUGGGCGGAAGCCUGAUGCAGCAACGCCGGGUGGGGGAUGACGGGCUUCGGGGUGUAAACCGCUUUCCCCUGUAACGAAGCGGGAGUGACGGUAAUGGGUAAAGAAGCCCCGGCUAACCACG
rnacentral:rRNA from 1 species